rnacentral:rRNA from 1 species
UGGGGAAUAUUGCACAAUGGGCGCAAGCCUGAUGCAGCCAUGCCGCGUGUAUGAAGAAGGCCUUCGGGUUGUAAAGUACUUUCAGCGGGGAGGAAGGGAGUAAAGUUAAUACCUUUGCUCAUUGACGUUACCCGCAGAAGAAGCACCGGCUAACUCCGUGCCAGCAGCCGCGGUAAUACGGAGGGUGCAAGCGUUAAUCGGAAUUACUGGGCGUAAAGCGCACGCAGGCGGUUUGUUAAGUCAGAUGUGAAAUCCCCGGGCUCAACCUGGGAACUGCAUCUGAUACUGGCAAGCUUGAGUCUCGUAGAGGGGGGUAGAAUUCCAGGUGUAGCGGUGAAAUGCGUAGAGAUCUGGAGGAAUACCGGUGGCGAAGGCGGCCCCCUGGACGAGGACUGACGCUCAGGUGCGAAAGCGUGGGGAGCAAACA